rnacentral:tRNA from 1 species
GUUAAUGUAGCUUAAACAAUUAUAAAGCAGGGCACUGAAAAUGCCCAGAUGAGCCCCUAAGCUCCAUGAACA